AGGGCUGUAGCUCAGUGGUUAGGUCACCUGCUUUGCAUGCGGAAGGUCCCAUGUUCAAUCCCUGUCAUUCCCA